UACAGAGGGUGCGAGCGUUGUCCGGAAUCACUGGGCGUAAAGGGCGUGUAGGCGGCUGGAUAAGCCGCGUGUGAAAUCCCGGGGCUCAACCCCGGAACGGCACGCGGGACUGUUCGGCUAGAGAAUGGUAGAGGCAAGUGGAAUUCCUGGUGUAGCGGUGGAAUGCGUAGAGAUCAGGAAGAACACCGGUGGCGAAGGCGGCUUGCUGGGCCAUUUCUGACGCUGAGGCGCGAAAGCGUGGGGAGCAAACAGGAUUAGAUACCCUGGUAGUCCACGCUGUAAACGAUGGGUGCUAGGCGUCGGGGGGAGCGACCCUCCCGGUGCCGUCGCUAACGCAAUAAGCACCCCGCCUGGGGAGUACGGCCGCAAGGUUGAA
rnacentral:rRNA from 1 species